ensembl:snRNA U4 U4 spliceosomal RNA
AGCUUUGCUCAGUGGCAGUAUCGUAGCCAAUGAGGUUUAUCCGAGGCGCGAUUAUUGCUAAUUGAAAGAAAAAGGAAAUAAAAAAAUGCAUGUGUAGCCAAAAUACAUAUUUUUGCAGUGCAGGACUAAAACAAAAUUGA